CUGACAAGACAGAAAGAGAGCUGGGUUGAGGUCGGGGCGGAUUCAGAGCCCACCGUGUCAGCAAAGACACAUAAGGAACUCGCCCUCCGGAAAGACGCGGGGGAAUUCUGGGAGUGCGCGGCCUUGGAGCGCGCACAUGCGCGGCAGCUCCCGCUGCUGAAUAGCUGAGAGGCGCACCCGGGCGGCCAGCUGGGCUCGGAGUGCAGCGGGGUUAGGAUGGACGAGGACGUGUUGCACCCUGAAGAGCCUCAUCAUCGCCUGCUCUUGAGGUUCACAGAUGAUACCUUUGAUCCAGAACUUGCAGCAACAAUAGGUUCACCUGCUUCCAGGCGGGCAGGGCGUUGUAUUCAUCCCUCGUCAUGUCUAGUGCAAACUGGAAACAUUGGGAGAAGCGCCCCGCGGCUCAGUGAAAGGAGCCGGGCGUGCGUGUGUUGUUUUAC
ensembl:lncRNA SVIL-AS1 SVIL antisense RNA 1